GACGAACGCUGGCGGCGUGCUUAACACAUGCAAGUCGAACGAAGUGGCGGACGGGUGAGUAACGCGUAAUCAACCUGCCCUUCGGAGGGGGACACCAGUUGGAAACGACUGCUAAUACGCAAUACUGAAGGAGGGGAUUGCGUGUGAUUGGCUAGUUGGUGGGGUAACGGCCUACCAAGGCGAUGAUCAGUCGCCGGGCGGGGAGGAUGAACGGCCAAAUCGGGACUGGGAACAGGCCCAGACUCCCACGGGGGGCAGCAGGGGGGAAAUUUCCGAAAUGGACGGAAGUCUGACGGAGCAACGCCGCGGGAGUGGUGACGGCCUUCGGGGUGUAAAGCUCUGUUAAUCGGGACGCGGUACCGGAAGAGAAAGCCACGGCUAACUACGUGCCAGCAGCCGCGGUAAUAC
rnacentral:rRNA from 1 species